GAUGAAGAACGUAGCGAAAUGCGAUAAGUAAUGUGAAUUGCAGAGUUUAGUGAAUCAUCGAAUCUUUGAACGCACAUUGCGCCCGCCAGCACUCUGGCGGGCAUGCCUGUUCGAGCGUCAUUUCAACCAUCAAGCCCCAGGCUUGCGUUGGAGCCCUGCGGCUGCCGCAGCCUCCUAAAAGCAGUGGCGGGCUCGCUAUCACACCGAGUGCAGUAGAUUACUCUUCGCUCAGGGCGUGCAGCGGGUUCCGGCCGUGAAACCCCCUACUUUUAAAGGUUGACCUCGGAUCAGGUAGGAAUACCCGCUGAACUUAAGCAUAUCAAUAAGCGGAGGA
rnacentral:misc_RNA from 1 species